rnacentral:rRNA from 1 species
UCAAUUAUCCCCCUAGCCUAACCAUUUUAACAUAAAUUAAUAAACUUCAAUUAAAACUAACUAAAACAUUUUUUACCUUAAGUAUUUGUGAAAAAAAAAGAAACUAAGAGCAAUAAUAAUAGUACCGCAAGGGAAAGGUGAAAUAAUAAUGAAAUAAUGUUUAAUAUGAAAAAGCAAAGAUUAAAUCUUGUACCUUUUGCAUCAUGGCCUAACAAGUCUAACCAGGCAUAAUGAGUUUUAGUCUGACCCCCCGAAACUAAGUGAGCUACUCCGGAGCAUGUAAUAACCCGUCUCUGUGGCAAAAGAGUGGGAAGACUCCCGAGUAGAAGCGAAAAACCUAUCGAACUUAGUGAUAGCUGGUUGCUCAAGAAAAGAAUUUUAGUUCUGUCUUAAAAAUUUAAAGCAAUAACAAGCUAAUUUUAAGGAUUACUCAAUUAGGGUACAGCCUAAUUGAAACAGGGUACAACCUAAAUUUUAGGAUAAUGAUUUAAUCUAAAAAGUCAAAGACUAAGUCGGCUUAAAAGCAGCCAUCUUUUAAAAAGCGUCAAAGCUUCGUCUUAUAACUACUUAUAUUUUAUUAAUUUUUCAAAAUCCGAUACUACUACUGAGCUAUUCCAUACUUCUAUGGAAUUAUUAAUGUUAGGACUAGUAACACAGAAUUAUUUCUCUUCCAUGUAAGUAUAAAUCAGUCCGGAUACCCCACUGAUAACCACCCAGAUUUGACUAAAUAGUAAUUUAAUUCCCAUGAAAACACUACUUUCCUUCCUGUUGACCUAACACAAGAACAUGUAAGAAAGAUUAAAAGACUAAGAAGGAACUCGGCAAACACUAGUCUCGCCUGUUUACCAAAAACAUCGCCUUAUGAAAAUUAUAUAAGGUAACGCCUGCCCAGUGAUAUAUUUCAACGGCCGCGGUAUUCUGACCGUGCGAAGGUAGCGUAAUCAUUUGUCUUUUAAAUAAAGACUUGUAUGAAUGGCAUCACGAAGACUUAACUGUCUCCCUAGUCCUAUCAGUGAAACUGAUCUUCCCGUGCAAAAGCGGGAAUAAAACCAUAAGACGAGAAGACCCUAUGGAGCUUAAAACUAAAAUCUAAUUAUACUAUUCUAUUAAAUUAAUUAAUACUAUAUUGUAUAAACUUAAUUUAAGUUUUCAGUUGGGGUGACUGUGGAGAAGAACUUAUCCUCCAUGUAGAAUCAAGUUUUGAGCUACUACUCUUAGCAUUAGCAAGCCUAACUUUACUUGAUCCAAUAAUUUUGAUCAACGGACCAAGUUACCCUAGGGAUAACAGCGCAAUCCAUUUCAAGAGUCCAUAUCGACAAAUGGGUUUACGACCUCGAUGUUGGAUUAGGACACCCUGGUGGUGCAGCCGCUACUGAUGGUUCGUUUGUCA